AUUGAACGCUGGCGGCAGGCCUAACACAUGCAAGUCGAGCGAGUGGCGGACGGGUGAGUAAUGUCUGGGAAACUGCCUGAUGGAGGGGGAUAACUACUGGAAACGGUGGCUAAUACCGCAUACCAUCGGAUGUACCCAGAUGGGAUUAGCUUGUUGGUGGGGUAACGGCUCACCAAGGCGACGAUCCCUAGCUGGUCUGAGAGGAUGAACAGCCACACGGGAACUGAGACACGGUCCAGACGCCUACGGGAGGCAGCAGUGGGGAAGAUUGCACAAUGGGCGCAAGCCUGAUGCAGCCAUGCCGCGUGUAUGAAGAAGGCCUUCGGGUUGUAAAGUACUUUCAGCGGGGAGGCGUUACCCGCAGAAGAAGCACCGGCUAACUCCGUGCCAGCAGCCGCGGUAAUAC
rnacentral:rRNA from 1 species